GCCUGGCUAGCUCAGUCGGUAGAGCAUGCAACUCUUGAUCUCAGGGUUGUGAGUUUGAGCCCCACGUUGGGUG
rnacentral:tRNA from 1 species